AGAGUUUGAUCCUGGCUCAGAACGAACGCUGGCGGCGUGCCUAACACAUGCAAGUCGAACGAGAAAGUUUCCUUCGGGAAACCAGUAAAGUGGCGCAAGGGUGAGUAACACGUGAAUAAUCUGCCUACGAAUUCGGGAUAACUCGACGAAAGUUGUGCUAAUACCGGAUAAGACCACACUUCUUAUGGAGCGUGGCCAAAGGAGUCUCAAACUCUGUUUGUAGAUGAGUUCGCGGACCAUUAGCUUGUUGGCGGGAUAACAGCCCACCAAGGCGACGAUGGUUAGCCGGCCUGAGAGGGUGAUCGGCCACACUGGAACUGAGACACGGCCCAGACUCCUACGGGAGGCAGCAGUAGGGAAUCUUAGACAAUGGGGGAAACCCUGAUCUAGCCAUGCCGCGUGUGUGAUGAAGGCCUUAGGGUCGUAAAGCACUUUCGCCAGAGAUGAUAAUGACAGUAUCUGGUAAAGAAACCCCGGCUAACUCCGUGCCAGCAGCCGCGGUAAUACGGAGGGGGUUAGCGUUGUUCGGAAUUACUGGGCGUAAAGCGCACGUAGGCGGAUUAGUAAGUUAGAGGUGAAAUCCCAGGGCUCAACCCUGGAACUGCCUUUAAUACUGCUAGUCUUGAGUUCGAGAGAGGUAAGUGGAAUUCCGAGUGUAGAGGUGAAAUUCGUAGAUAUUCGGAGGAACACCAGUGGCGAAGGCGGCUUACUGGCUCGAUACUGACGCUGAGGUGCGAAAGUGUGGGGAGCAAACAGGAUUAGAUACCCUGGUAGUCCACACCGUAAACGAUGAAUGCCAGACGUCAGCAAGUAUACUUGUUGGUGUCACACCUAACGGAUUAAGCAUUCCGCCUGGGGAGUACGGUCGCAAGAUUAAAACUCAAAGGAAUUGACGGGGGCCCGCACAAGCGGUGGAGCAUGUGGUUUAAUUCGACGCAACGCGCAGAACCUUACCAACCCUUGACAUCCUGUGCUACUACCAGAGAUGGUACGUUCCCUUCGGGGACGCAGUGACAGGUGCUGCAUGGCUGUCGUCAGCUCGUGUCGUGAGAUGUUCGGUUAAGUCCGGCAACGAGCGCAACCCACAUCUUUAGUUGCCAUCAGGUUAUGCUGGGCACUCUAGAGAAACUGCCCGUGAUAAGCGGGAGGAAGGUGUGGAUGACGUCAAGUCCUCAUGGCCCUUACGGGUUGGGCUACACACGUGCUACAAUGGCAGUGACAAUGGGUUAAUCCCAAAAAGCUGUCUCAGUUCGGAUUGGGGUCUGCAACUCGACCCCAUGAAGUCGGAAUCGCUAGUAAUCGCGUAACAGCAUGACGCGGUGAAUACGUUCCCGGGCCUUGUACACACCGCCCGUCACACCAUGGGAGUUGGUUCUACCCGACGACGCUGCGCUAACCCUUCGGGGAGGCAGGCGGCCACGGUAGGAUCAGCGACUGGGGUGAAGUCGUAACAAGGUAACC
rnacentral:rRNA from 1 species